AAGUCGUAACAAGGUUUCCGUAGGUGAACCUGCGGAAGGAUCAUUAACAAAACAGCGGGCGAGGAGCGUCGCAAGGCGCGCCCCGACCAUCCACCUUUGUGAAUCGGGCGAGCCGCAGCGAUGCGGCGCGCUUAGUCGGGCGAGGGCGUUGGUGCGUGCGUGUGCAUGUGGGUGUGCGGGUGUGUUUUACGGGUGCGGGUGUGUUUGCGUGCAUGCAUGUAUGUCUACAUGAAUGCAUGCAUACCCACAAGCACUUAGCAAUAGCACCAGCACAAGCACAAACACAAACACAAGCACACAUCAAAUACAUUCUAAUGUCUAAUCUUUUGUCGAGAGACACAAGCAAAAUAUACAAAACAACUUUUAACAAUGGAUCUCUAGGCUCUU
rnacentral:misc_RNA from 1 species